UACGGAGGAUGCAAGCGUUAUCCGGAAUGAUUGGGCGUAAAGCGUCCGCAGGUGGCAAUGUAAGUCUGCUGUCAAAGCGUCUGGCUCAACCAGAUAAAGGCAGUGGAAACUACAUAGCUAGAGUAAGGUAGGGGUAGAGGGAAUUCCUGGUGUAGCGGUGAAAUGCGUAGAGAUCGGAAAGAACGCCAACGGCGAAAGCACUCUGCUGGGCCGACACUGACACUGAGAGACGAAAGCUAGGGGAGCGAAUGGG
rnacentral:rRNA from 1 species